CGUAAACGAUGAUAACUAGCUGUUGGGGCUCUUGGAGCUCCAGUGGCGCAGCUAACGCAUUAAGUUAUCCGCCUGGGGAGUACGGCCGCAAGGUUAAAACUCAAAGGAAUUGACGGGGGCCUGCACAAGCGGUGGAGCAUGUGGUUUAAUUCGAAGCAACGCGCAGAACCUUACCAGCGUUUGACAUGCCUGGACGGUUUCCAGAGAUGGAUUCCUUCUCGCAAGAGACUAGGACACAGGUGCUGCAUGGCUGUCGUUAGCUCGUGUCGUGAGAUGUUGGGUUAAGUCCCGCAACGAGCGCAACCCUCGCCUUUAGUUACCAUCAUUCAGUUGGGGACUCUAAAGGAACCGCCGGUGAUAAGCCGGGGGAAGGUGGGGAUGACGUCAAGUCCUCAUGGCCCUUACACGCUGGGCUACACACGUGCUACAAUGGCGGUGACAAUGGGCUGCAAACCCGCGAGGGUGAGCUAAUCUCAAAAAGCCGUCUCAGUUCGGAUUGUUCUCUGCAACUCGAGAGCAUGAAGGCGGAAUCGCUAGUAAUCGCGGAUCAGCAUGCCGCGGUGAAUACGUUCCCAGGCCUUGUACACACCGCCCGUCACACCAUGGGAGUUGGAUUGACCCGAAGGCAGUGGGCUAACCCGCAAGGGAGGCAGCUGACCACGGUCGGUUCAGUGACUGGGGU
rnacentral:rRNA from 1 species